UACGAAGGGGGCUAGCGUUGCUCGGAAUCACUGGGCGUAAAGCGCACGUAGGCGGAUCUUUAAGUCAGAGGUGAGAUCCCAAGGCUCAACCUUGGAACUGCCUUUGAUACUGGGGAUCUCGAGUCCGGAAGAGGUGAGUGGAACUGCGAGUGUAGAGGUGAAAUUCGUAGAUAUUCGCAAGAACACCAGUGGCGAAGGCGGCUCACUGGUCCGGUACUGACGCUGAGGUGCGAAAGCGUGGGGAGCGAACAGG
rnacentral:rRNA from 1 species